GUAGGUGGCAAGCGUUGUCCGGAAUUAUUGGGCGUAAAGCGCGCGCAGGCGGUUCUUUAAGUCUGAUGUGAAAGCCCACGGCUCAACCGUGGAGGGUCGUUGGAAACUGGAGAACUUGAGUACAGAAGAGGAGAGCGGAAUUCCACGUGUAGCGGUGAAAUGCGUAGAGAUGUGGAGGAACACCAGUGGCGAAGGCGGCUUUCUGGUCUGUAACUGACGCUGAGGCGCGAAAGCGUGGGGAGCAAACAGGGAUUAGAUACCCUGGUAGUCCACGCCGUAAACGAUGAGUGCUAAGUGUUAGGGGGGUUUCCGCCCCCUUAGUGCUGCAGCUAACGCAUUAAGCACUCCGCCUGGGGAGUACGGCCGCAAGGCUG
rnacentral:rRNA from 1 species